CACCUCCGCAGCAUGGCGGGGUCCCGAGGACCUUCUGCGCGAGUGGGGAGGGCAACGGGGUGGGCACAUCUUCUCACCUUAGUAGGCCCCUCCCUUCACUACAGAAUGCACAGUUUGCCACUAGCUGUACGAGCACCUAAUCUAUGUAACUAAUUCUUCCGCUGAAGCUCAGUGAGAACAGGAACCUUGGCUUCGGGCAUUCCUGAAAGCAGUUAACUUGGCUGAAAUGGAACACCUGAAGUUUCUGAUGGUUGCUUACAGCACUUCAGCUGCUACUUUCUGCUGGGCUCCCUGUGGCUCCCACCAUGUGCACACAGGUAAGGAAAAACAACCAAGGAUUCUGACAGGGUCUAUGUGCAUUUCCUGGUGUUCUCUUUGUUAUUUGUUCCUUUCCAGAAUUUCUCU